rnacentral:rRNA from 1 species
UACGGGGGGAGCAAGCGUUGUUCGGAUUCAUUGGGCGUAAAGGGUGCGUAGGCGGCGGGGCAAGUCUGAUGUGAAAUCCCGGGGCUCAACCCCGGAACUGCAUUGGAUACUGCCUUGCUCGAGUACUGGAGAGGGAACUGGAAUUUACGGUGUAGCAGUGAAAUGCGUAGAGAUCGUAAGGAAGGCCAGUGGCGAAGGCGAGUUCCUGGACAGUUACUGACGCUGAGGCACGAAGGCCAGGGGAGCAAACGGG